UUAGUCAUGUGUCGAUUUCUUGGGUUCCUUUGUUCUCAACCAAGACCAUAUCGAACUUAGUUGAUUCCUUAGGAGAGAGGAGAAACCCAAAUACGUAGAGAAGAAACCUAGCUAACCCAUCUCCUCUCUAAUUGAAACAUCGAAUUUUGGCUAAGGAAGAGAGGUGAAACCCAAUUAAUCUCUAUUCCAUGCUUUCCCAGACCACGCAACUCAGUACUC
rnacentral:lncRNA from 1 species